GGCAGGCCUCCUCCCGUCUUCCCCACCUCCGGCCCCGCCUGCUGACCCUGGGUCCUGGUCAAGCCCCCUGCCCCGAUUCUGGAAGGGAAGGAGUACUCUGAGAUCCCACAAUACCAGAGGGAGGAAGGGGAGAGGGAGCCCUAGGGUGCUCCCAGGAAAGCAGGCCCUGGGGCCCCACCGUCAGGCAGAGUCUCUGGAGGACUGCCUUCCCCUCGGCCCCUAGAGAAUGCCUCCGGGCUGUUCCGGCUCACAGGUGCCCAGCUCAGGCCGGCUGAGGGCAGAAGAGGGUGAGCAGGGGUGGGCAAGUGUGCAUCGAAGGAGUGGACGAUGGAGGAACCCUGGCUGGGAGUGCUCCAAGGACAGGACGCUGGGACACGUGGGUGGUGCGAGGGGUGCGCAGCAGGUCAGACCGAUGGCAGGACAGGCCCCACGGGGCAGCUCACGGAGGACACGCACUACCCGGAUGGGCGGAGAGGCCUUUCCGGCACCCUAGCAGGCCAGAGUGCCCCUGGCUAUAGACUUAAGCCCAGCUCCUGCAGGGCAGCAGAGCCCAGCGCGGUCGGCAUUCCUGAUGAAGGGCCCCACAUGGGCAGGAGGCUGGAAAGGCGUUCUGGGCCCACAGGCCCAACUUUGCUCUCUCUGAGGCCUCAGUCUAGCGCCUGCCCUUCAGUGUCACCCACCACUCGAGUGUGAGAGCUGUGCACGUGAGCAGGUGCCCAAGGGAGGGGCAGCGAGGGGCCCUGGCCCGAAGGCCGGGAAACUGAGGCAGCCUCCGCCGGGGGAGGGCUCGGGGUCCAGCCUGGGCAGCGGCUCUACUCAGGCCCCUCCUGCCCCAUCUCGAGGCCCCGCCCCGUGCCCGAGCCCCCGCCCCGCCCGGGCCCGGAAGCUCAGCGCCGGGGCGGCCCAAGCCCGGGUCUGGCGGGAAGGGGCCCGCUGACCCCGAGCCUGGUCUUUGGGAAAACCCUCGAGCGCGGAGGCUUCUGGGGACUACAGUCCGCACCAGCCGCCCGCGUCCUUCCAGGCCAGG
rnacentral:lncRNA from 1 species